rnacentral:rRNA from 1 species
AGGGCGCACGGUGGAUGCCUUGGCACUAGAAGCCGAUGAAGGACGUUACUAACGACGAUAUGCUUUGGGGAGCUGUAAGUAAGCUUUGAUCCAGAGAUUUCCGAAUGGGGAAACCCAACAUGAGUUAUGUCAUGUUAUCGAUAUGUGAAUACAUAGCAUAUCAGAAGGCACACCCGGAGAACUGAAACAUCUUAGUACCCGGAGGAAGAGAAAGAAAAAUCGAUUCCCUUAGUAGCGGCGAGCGAAACGGGAAGAGCCCAAACCAACAAGCUUGCUUGUUGGGGUUGUAGGACACUCUAUACGGAGUUACAAAGGACGACAUUAGACGAAUCAUCUGGAAAGAUGAAUCAAAGAAGGUAAUAAUCCUGUAGUCGAAAAUGUUGUCUCUCUUGAGUGGAUCCUGAGUACGACGGAGCACGUGAAAUUCCGUCGGAAUCUGGGAGGACCAUCUCCUAAGGCUAAAUACUCUCUAGUGACCGAUAGUGAACCAGUACCGUGAGGGAAAGGUGAAAAGCACCCCGGAAGGGGAGUGAAAUAGAACCUGAAACCGUGUGCUUACAAGUAGUCAGAGCCCGUUAAUGGGUGAUGGCGUGCCUUUUGUAGAAUGAACCGGCGAGUUACGAUUUGAUGCAAGGUUAAGCAGUAAAUGUGGAGCCGUAGCGAAAGCGAGUCUGAAUAGGGCGUUUAGUAUUUGGUCGUAGACCCGAAACCAGGUGAUCUACCCUUGGUCAGGUUGAAGUUCAGGUAACACUGAAUGGAGGACCGAACCGACUUACGUUGAAAAGUGAGCGGAUGAACUGAGGGUAGCGGAGAAAUUCCAAUCGAACCUGGAGAUAGCUGGUUCUCUCCGAAAUAGCUUUAGGGCUAGCCUCAAGUGAUGAUUAUUGGAGGUAGAGCACUGUUUGGACGAGGGGCCCCUCUCGGGUUACCGAAUUCAGACAAACUCCGAAUGCCAAUUAAUUUAACUUGGGAGUCAGAACAUGGGUGAUAAGGUCCGUGUUCGAAAGGGAAACAGCCCAGACCACCAGCUAAGGUCCCAAAAUAUAUGUUAAGUGGAAAAGGAUGUGGCGUUGCCCAGACAACUAGGAUGUUGGCUUAGAAGCAGCCAUCAUUUAAAGAGUGCGUAAUAGCUCACUAGUCGAGUGACACUGCGCCGAAAAUGUACCGGGGCUAAACAUAUUACCGAAGCUGUGGAUUGUCCUUUGGACAAUGGUAGGAGAGCGUUCUAAGGGCGUUGAAGCAUGAUCGUAAGGACAUGUGGAGCGCUUAGAAGUGAGAAUGCCGGUGUGAGUAGCGAAAGACGGGUGAGAAUCCCGUCCACCGAUUGACUAAGGUUUCCAGAGGAAGGCUCGUCCGCUCUGGGUUAGUCGGGUCCUAAGCUGAGGCCGACAGGCGUAGGCGAUGGAUAACAGGUUGAUAUUCCUGUACCACCUAUAAUCGUUUUAAUCGAUGGGGGGACGCAGUAGGAUAGGCGAAGCGUGCGAUUGGAUUGCACGUCUAAGCAGUAAGGCUGAGUAUUAGGCAAAUCCGGUACUCGUUAAGGCUGAGCUGUGAUGGGGAGAAGACAUUGUGUCUUCGAGUCGUUGAUUUCACACUGCCGAGAAAAGCCUCUAGAUAGAAAAUAGGUGCCCGUACCGCAAACCGACACAGGUAGUCAAGAUGAGAAUUCUAAGGUGAGCGAGCGAACUCUCGUUAAGGAACUCGGCAAAAUGACCCCGUAACUUCGGGAGAAGGGGUGCUCUUUAGGGUUAACGCCCAGAAGAGCCGCAGUGAAUAGGCCCAAGCGACUGUUUAUCAAAAACACAGGUCUCUGCUAAACCGUAAGGUGAUGUAUAGGGGCUGACGCCUGCCCGGUGCUGGAAGGUUAAGAGGAGUGGUUAGCUUCUGCGAAGCUACGAAUCGAAGCCCCAGUAAACGGCGGCCGUAACUAUAACGGUCCUAAGGUAGCGAAAUUCCUUGUCGGGUAAGUUCCGACCCGCACGAAAGGCGUAACGAUUUGGGCACUGUCUCAACGAGAGACUCGGUGAAAUCAUAGUACCUGUGAAGAUGCAGGUUACCCGCGACAGGACGGAAAGACCCCGUGGAGCUUUACUGUAGCCUGAUAUUGAAAUUCGGCACAGCUUGUACAGGAUAGGUAGGAGCCUUUGAAACGUGAGCGCUAGCUUACGUGGAGGCGCUGGUGGGAUACUACCCUAGCUGUGUUGGCUUUCUAACCCGCACCACUUAUCGUGGUGGGAGACAGUGUCAGGCGGGCAGUUUGACUGGGGCGGUCGCCUCCUAAAAGGUAACGGAGGCGCUCAAAGGUUCCCUCAGAAUGGUUGGAAAUCAUUCAUAGAGUGUAAAGGCAUAAGGGAGCUUGACUGCGAGACCUACAAGUCGAGCAGGGUCGAAAGACGG